CGUUGUGAAAAAGUGGGCAACUGCUUUGAGAUCAUAGACUGGAAAUAUUAAGUCAAUGUUUGAUUAGUUUCUCUCGUUUGGUGGAUGUGUCUCUAGUUUAUUGGCUCAGGUCACAUGUGAUACUCAAUCAGCAGAGACGUGUCUGUUAAUAAAAUAGAUACAAAGACAGAGGGG